UACGUAGGGGGCAAGCGUUGUCCGGAGUUACUGGGCGUAAAGCGCACGCAGGCGGUCUCUUAAGUUUGGAGUGACAGUUGGUGGCUUAACUGCCAAAGUGCUUCGAAAACUGAGAGACUUGAGGGCUUCAGAGGGACACGGAAUUCCGGGUGGAGUGGUGAAAUGCGUAGAGAUCCGGAGGAACACCAAAGGCGAAGGCAGUGUCCUGGGGAGUACCUGACGCUCAGGUGCGAAAGCCAGGGGAGCGAACGGGG
rnacentral:rRNA from 1 species